rnacentral:lncRNA from 1 species
UAGAUAUUGACGCGACAUGACAUUAACAUGACAUGACAUCGAUGUGACUUGACCUUCUUUCAUUUUUGACCAUAUAUUUUCUUUUAUAUUUUUACCUUUUUUUUUACUCCAAACUUGGUCCCUAAGUUUUCUACCCUACAUUUUAUAUUUUUACCUACAAUAAACUAUACACAAAAAGGGGGACACCCCAUCAGAUUUUAAGGGAACUAUGAAACCCUAAUUUCAUAAGUCCUUACUCUCUCUCUCUUUUUAGAAGAGCAGCCGCCCCUCCCCUACAAACUUUCUCAUGCUCUCAUCAUCUGUCUCAACUUUGAGGGAACCCGCCGCCUUCUCCCCCUUGCCGCUAGCCGCAUUUCAUCACCGGAAAUGGCUGGCGAUGGUUACUUCUCUCCCCUUUCCCCUUGUUGUUGCGGCAAAAUACUAGACCUAGCCGAAAAUAGCUUACGCCGGUGAACCAUCGAUCUAUUUUUUUCGUGCACAUCUUUGGUCUUAUAUAAAUCUAUUGAAAAGGGGAAGGAUUAUAACAAAUCCGACCAUUUGAGUUCGACAGAGAUCCAACCGGAAAACUCAACUCCGGCGGCUUCGUUGUUUCUGUUUUGUUUACUUGCAAGUCAUAUUAUGCGUAAAGGCCUUAUCAGAUAAAACCAGAACUGGUCGGAGAUUAGCUUUUCCCGGCGAUUCGAUUAUACUUCAUUUUUGUUAUCCCAUCCCAUUUUUGCCUCCUAUUGUUUUAUCUUGUGAUUUAUUUCUAUUGCGCUAAUAACAGUAGUCUCCGACGACGGGUUAGAACGCCGCUACCAGACCAUUCAGUUAUUCAUGUCAUUCCGCCGGAAUCUGGGUUUUGCAGUUGCUGUCCGCUUGUUCUGUUUCAGAUUUUAGAGUUUAUGUGCUGGUAGGUUGUUUGCCAUUGCUGGUUUUGACACUACUAAAUGGAGCCAUGUUUUAUUUCGUCCGCUAUCACUGUUUUGUUCUUACAAGACUGUUAUCUUGAUUUGUUUGGCUAAUGUUGUUACAAGUCCCCCUUUGUCGCUAUAGUUCAAACGAAAUGUUACAUGAGACCAUUUUGGCACACUUUAUUGGUAAAGACAUGGCCGUUCUUCCAUCUUUGAUGUGCCAGUUUGAUUUUACGCCGCGUUGAACUUCAUUGGUUUGAACAUGAUGCCACGUUAGGCCGAUGAGAAAUGUUUUUAGGCCACGACACCCCGAAUGACCCUCUGGACCGGGCCCUAUAAUAAUGAUGCGAUGAUGAUAAACAUCGAAAAAUAAAAGACAAGGAUGCAAUGAACCAACAACCUUAGGAUGGUGACACGGUCGGCCGCCGUAGUGGCAACCAAGGCGGUUCCCGUUCUCAUAUCUAGACGGAUAUCAAAAAAUGCAUAUCUGAGCUUCCUAUAUUAUUUUUUAAACUAUUUUCUUAAACUAUUUUCCAAAAAUAAUUUCUCAAAAAAAUUUAAAACUAUUUUCAGAAACAAUCGUCCAAAAAAUAUUUUCAAAUAAAAUCAUUUCAAAAAUAAGUUAGUUUAUUGUUUACUUCAUACUUUACUAAUGAUUUCACUUCUCUUGUCUUGCGAGGUUCUAUCAUACGAAGUCGUUUUUGAAAGAAGGAAUUUGGAUAAAGAUCGAAGAUGAACCCCUCAUCGAAACCCCGCUUACUACUUCCCGUUCUCGGAUGUACCCAAAACAUAAAGUAUAGUAAAAAUCGUAGAUAGAGUUUGUGUUUACUUGCUUACUUUGAUAUUACUUAUUUGCUAAACACUUAGAGAAUUGCAUCUAGUUAAUAAUUGGAGUAACUUGAUAUAUUUUGCGUUAAAUAAUUCUUGAAGUGUGUAUGAGAUGUUGAAUAUAUUUUAUGACAUGGUUAAUGUAAUGACCUGGCCGGUCGUUUUGAGAGUAUUAUCCCCCAUCCCCUAUUUACUACAUUUCCCAUAUCUGUUUCUGCUUAUAAGAAUUGUCGGGAGGUCUUAUUUUGGUUUCAGAGUGUUUUGGGACACUUAGUCCCUAAAACGGAAGCUUAAGUCUUAGGAUUUUGACCAUAGUCGGAAUGGUGUGAAGACGACUCCGGAAUGGAGUUACGUCGGUUCCGUUAGCUCCGUUGGAUAAUUUUGGACUUGGGAGUGUGUCCGUACUGUGAAUUUUAGGUAUGUAGCCGAUUUAGGCUUGAAAUGGCGAAAGUCAAAUUUUCGGAAGUUUGGCUGGGGGGUUGACUUUUUGAUAUCGGGGUUGGAUUCUGAUUCCGGAAAUUGGAGUAGGUCCGUAAUGUUGAAUAUGACUUGUGUGCAAAAUUUGAGGUCAAUCAAACGUGGUUUGGUAGGUUUCGGCAUCGUUGUGGAAUUUGAAAGUUUAGAAGUUCUUAGGCUUGAAUCCGGGUGUAAUUUGGUAUUUUGAUGGCGUUUUGAGGGAUUUGAUGGUUUGACUAAGUUUGUAUCGGGUGGUUAAUAGCUUGAUGGGAGUUGAGGAAUUACAGCUGAAGCUGCUGCUACUAGUGUAACCGCACCUGCGGAGUGGGAACCGCUGGUGCAAGCACGCAGAAGCGAAGGAGGAGCUGCAGAUGUGGCUAAGGAGCAUCUGCGCAGAGGACGCAGGUGCGAUGGUCACAAAAGCGGAUUUAGGGGAGCAGGUGCAAGUUUGGACCGCAGGUGCGAUGUAGUUCCCGCACCCGGGAAGAACACAUAUGCGAUCACUUGAUCGCAGGAGCGGAGGCAGUAUUUUAGUGAUUUUUCCAUAGAAGACUUUGAGAUUUUUCAUCAUUUUUGAGCUCGGAUUUUGGGGAUUUUGAGAGAGAUUUUGGAGUAAUCACUGAGGUAUGUUCCUUGUGCCUAUUUAUCUUCAAUAAUGAUGUUUGCCCAUUGAUUUUUAGACCUAAUUGGUGAGUGUUUGAGGGGAGAUUUGGGGGUUUAGGGCUUGAGAAUUGGAGAGUGGAUUUUGGGGAUUUGGAUGGCCAAAUGGUGUCGGAUUUUGGUAAAUUUGGUAUAGUUAGACUCGUGAGUGAAUGGGCUUUCGGGUUUUAUGACUUUUGUCGGAUUUCGAGACAUAGGCCCCCGGGCCGGGUCGAGCCUAUUUCGGACUUUUGCUUAUAAUUUCGUAUUUUGCUUGUUGAAUUGAUUCCUUUAGCCUAUAUUAAUUAUAUCGUACUGCUUGUGGCUAGAUUCGGGGGAUUUGGAGACAGAUUCGAGGGGCAAAGACAUUUUGGAGUAGGAUUUGCUCAAUUUUAGGUAAGUAACGCUUUCAAACUUGGUUCUAAGGGUUUGAAACCCCGAACUAUAUGUUAUACGAUUGGUAUUGAGGUGACACACAUGCCAAGUGACGGGCGUGCGAGUGUGCACCGUGAGAAUUGUGGCCUGGUUGUUUCCAUGGCACUGUAUAGUGACUCUAUUAUGUUUAUGUCCGUGUUUUCAUCUUGUGAUAAAGUAAUUGAGCUAUCAAUCAUGCUAGAUAUCAUGUUUAGGCUUUAUCCCAGUACUAUUGGGACCCCUAGUGGUCGUUUCUUGCUGUCAUCUCACUGAUUUCAUUGAUAUUAUGUACUCAGUCAUGUUCAUGUAUUUCAUAUCAUAGCUCCAUCUCACUAGUUAUUUAUUGAUACAUCAUAUCAUUGUUUCGGGCUAGUUUUCAUGAUAUUGUGAGCCCGUGAGAGAGACUGGGGAGAUUGAUGACUGAGUGAGGCUAAGACCCUGAUUAUGAGUGACAGUUAUGGGAUUGUACUGCACGCCGCAGCGGUUAUACUGAUUUUAUAAUAGCGCUUGAGCUGUAGGAGCCCCUCCGGAGUCUGUACAUACCCCCAGUAAGCGCGGUUGAUAUUAUUGAGAGAUGGAUCUUCCCUGGACAUGGAUCUUGUCCGAAGUACUUGAUACUUGGAGAUGGAUCUUCUCCACAGGGCUGGAUUGGCCUUCCUCGGUACUGGGUGACUUAUAGUCAGUGAUGUAUAUGUUCCGGGAUGGAUCUUCCCUGGGCCGUAUGGGCCAUAUACAGUACCGAGUGGUUGAACAUUCGAGAGUGUGAGCAUAUGAGGCUGACAACAUGGUGCAUCACAUACAGCAUGUGCAUUGUCAUGUAGAGAUUGCAAAGUUAUAUUCUUUACACUUUUCGGAUCUUCUUCACUUUACUAUUUUGAGUUGCCUAUUUAAUUUGAAAGCAUGCCUACAUUUCUGUUCAGUUAUUUCUAUUUUAUCUGUACCGAUUGAGUUCAUCACUACCUGUCUGUCCAAAGUUUGGACAUGUUACUUACUGAGUUGGAUGUACUCACGUUACUCCCUGCACCUCGUGUGCAGAUCCUGGCAUUUUUUUGUCACGGCGGCGGUUACUAAUUG